GAUGAACGCUAGCUACAGGCUUAACACAUGUAAUUAAGAUUAAAGAUUUAUCGGUGUACGAUGGGGAUGCGUUCCAUUAGGUAGUAGGCGGGGUAACGGCCCACCUAGCCAACGAUGGAUAGGGGUUCUGAGAGGAAGGUCCCCCACAUUGGAACUGAGACACGGUCCAAACUCCUACGGGAGGCAGCAGUGAGGAAUAUUGGUCAAUGGACGAGAGUCUGAACCAGCCAAGUAGCGUGAAGGAUGAAGGUCCUACGGAUUGUAAACUUCUUUUAUAAGGGAAUAAACCCUCCCACGUGUGGGAGCUUGUAUGUACCUUAUGAAUAAGCAUCGGCUAACUCCGUG
rnacentral:rRNA from 1 species